rnacentral:lncRNA from 1 species
UGAAGAGAGUAUCUGACCUCAUCUAAAGAAAAAGCAUGUCCCGAUGUGAAAAAGAUCAAUCAAAGUGAUAUGCCUAAAAAAAAAUGUGCUCUGACAUGAUCAUGCCCAGAUGUAAGCUGAUAUCUCUAAGAUCAAUCGCCAAUGAAAGGAUUAUGCCCCAAUAUAAGGUAAUCUCUAAAAUGACUAAACUCCACUACAUGCUCUCACAAGUGUCUGUGUCUUGAUCCAAUCAUCUCAAACAUUUGUCAACAAUGAUGAGAAGGCUAUGCUCCUAUAAAC